rnacentral:rRNA from 1 species
UACGUAGGGUGCAAGCGUUGUCCGGAAUUAUUGGGCGUAAAGAGCUCGUAGGCGGUUUGUCGCGUCUGCUGUGAAAACUCGAGGCUUAACCUCGAGACGUCGGUUGAAACCAUCUGGCUAGAGUCCGGAAGAGGAGUGUGGAAUUCCCGGUGUAGCGGUGAAAUGCGCAGAUAUCGGGAAGAACACCCGUGGCGAAGGCGGCACUCUGGGACGGUACUGACGCUGAGACGCGAAAGCGUGGGGAGCGAACAGG